rnacentral:rRNA from 1 species
CAACAUGACUCUCGGCAACGGAUAUCUCGGCUCUCGCAUCGAUGAAGAACGUAGCAAAAUGCGAUACCUGGUGUGAAUUGCAGAAUCCCGUGAACCAUCGAGUUUUUGAACGCAAGUUGCGCCUGAGGCCUUCUGGUCGAGGGCACGUCUGCCUGGGCGUCAUG